rnacentral:tRNA from 1 species
GUCCCUUUAGUAUCAGUUAGUACGGUUGACUUCCAAUCAAUUAGCUCUGGUGUAAUCCAGAAAGGAACA